rnacentral:rRNA from 1 species
GACGAACGCUGGCGGCGUGCUUAACACAUGCAAGUCGAACGGAAAGGCCCUGCUUUUGUGGGGUGCUCGAGUGGCGAACGGGUGAGUAACACGUGAGUAACCUGCCCUUGACUUUGGGAUAACUUCAGGAAACUGGGGCUAAUACCGGAUAGGAGCUCCUGCUGCAUGGUGGGGGUUGGAAAGUUUCGGCGGUUGGGGAUGGACUCGCGGCUUAUCAGCUUGUUGGUGGGGUAGUGGCUUACCAAGGCUUUGACGGGUAGCCGGCCUGAGAGGGUGACCGGCGACAGUGGAGCGGGGAGGCGGCCAAGAGUCGGGGGGGGGGAAGCGGUGGAGUAGCGGUAGCAGUGGGAGGAAGCUUGAGGCAGCAACGCGGGGGGGGGGCCGGCGGCGGUCGUGCUGCAGACCGCGUUCGCCGGGGAGGAAGGGGGGGGGAGGGUGAUGGGUAAAGCCGCGCCGACUACGUGCUGGCCAGCAGCCGGGGUAAUAAUUCUGAACAGCACCCGUACACAC